AAAUAUUUUCAUCCUCUUAAACAAAGUUAAAGCUGUUCUCACAGGCAAGUUCCAGUUCCUAAACUUUCACUUCCCAAUCGUUCGCUCUCGGUUGAUGCCACGGCCAUGGUUUCAGAGCCGCCACUUCCACCUCCUAUCUCCGCGCAGCUCAAGUAUCUCCUUGUCCAUUCCCCUCUACCAUUUAGGGUCGAACAUAUUUGGUCUGGUUGUAAGAAUUCCCGCUUCUCCGACCGUUUUACCCUCUUAGUCCCUUUUUGCCUCGACUACGUUAAGUGGGAUGUUAUAUAUAAUGCCUUCUAUCCCCUCUCGGCACCCGACAUUGUCUUCUCUCCAGAUGAUGAAGAAUUCCGACCGCUUCUUCCAGUUUUUGAUCGUGAAGGGGGAGCGGAAUGUCAGGCCCGGUUAAUGAGAGGCAGUUUGUGGGAAUGGAAUAGCAAAGACCCUUCCAGGCUUUUGAGGCUUGUGCUUGAGAUAAGGGGCUUGUAUGUGCAAUAUCAGAGGAUGCGUGUGGGGGAAAUUAAUGAUGCAAGAUUGAAGUUUGAGAUAAGCACAAUUCUCUCCCGGGAGGGAAUCGAAGUCAGUUUGAUUUCUGGGCCUGACAAGCAAGAAGAGGUCAAAUUUGUUGUGCCAUUACUAGAUGUGGAUUUGAACAAACUUGUACAUGCAUGUCCUUGGAAGCAAGAACAAAAGAUCUACUUGCAGGUUGUGUUUCCUGUUUCUAGAAGUUAUUCUAUUGCUCCUGCACCACGCAUAAAGCUUGUGUCUACUUCACAGUUGAAGGACUUAUUGUCAGUUGAUGAUGUAAAGCUUCCUUCUUGGGUUGAUGGAAUGUGUAUGGCUGAAUACCUUCCUUCUCUGGAAGACACUCUUGGCUUACAGGUCAUGGACGCAGUUACAUUUGUCGGCGCUAGAAGGCGUUUCAUUGAGGCUUUAGUCCCCAAAUUUGGAAGACCUCUUGAAGCUGAUCCGAUUUUUUGUAGAAAAGCUACAGUUCUUGCUGUGACGGGAGUCUUCACAUUCCUUGUGCAUUUUUCACUGUCCACACAGUUCCCGAAGCAACAACCUACAUUGAUUCUGCAAAGUUCCCAGCAUUUCAAUUCUCAAGGCGCGCCAAUAAUGUCACCUCCUCUAAAUAAUUAUCCAUGGAGUCCUAGAUGGGAUUCGGCAGAGAUGGUUGAACGAAUCUUUGAUUUUCUUGUCAAAGAAUGUAUAAGCUUCAAGACGUACUGCUUGGAUGCGGUGGUUCAGUAAUCCGUCCCUUGAUGGGCAUCUCUUCUGGAGGCGCAAAGAUGGACGAUUGAUUCAUGGCGACUGCUAGCGAUGGGAAUCCAGCACGCACUUUAUUGUCAUCUUGAUUGUGCGUGCGCGAUUAAUGGAAAUUGUUUAUGAAAUUAUUAAACAAAUCUAUGCUUUUGUUAUUGAUGAUCAGUGGCCGGCAAAAAGCUGUUCAAUUUGGCAUGAGUUUUAUUUGAUUUUGGUUUAUAUUUAAUUAUAAAAUUAAACCAAAAUAUAUAAAUUAUAUCUUGGGAAAUUCAGUAAACAAUUGAAGUUGUAUU